rnacentral:rRNA from 1 species
GGGGGUACGAGAGGGCCGCUACCACGCGAGUGGAUGCCAAAUCCCCAAAACCUCUCUCAGUUCGGACUGGAGUCUGCAACCCGACUCUACGAAGCUGGAUUCGCUAGUAAUCGCGCAUCAGCCACGGCGCGGUGAAUACGUUCCCGGGCCUUGUACACACCGCCCGUCAAGCCAUGGGAGCCGGGGGUACCUGAAGUGCGUAACCGCGAGGAGCGCCCUAGGGUAAAACUGGUGACUGGGGCUAAGUCGUAACAAGGUAGC